rnacentral:rRNA from 9 species
UUAAAUUGAAGAGUUUGAUCAUGGCUCAGAUUGAACGCUGGCGGCAGGCCUAACACAUGCAAGUCGAACGGUAACAGGAAGCAGCUUGCUGCUUUGCUGACGAGUGGCGGACGGGUGAGUAAUGUCUGGGAAACUGCCUGAUGGAGGGGGAUAACUACUGGAAACGGUGGCUAAUACCGCAUAACGUCGCAAGACCAAAGAGGGGGACCUUCGGGCCUCUUGCCAUCAGAUGUGCCCAGAUGGGAUUAGCUUGUUGGUGAGGUAACGGCUCACCAAGGCGACGAUCCCUAGCUGGUCUGAGAGGAUGACCAGCCACACUGGAACUGAGACACGGUCCAGACUCCUACGGGAGGCAGCAGUGGGGAAUAUUGCACAAUGGGCGCAAGCCUGAUGCAGCCAUGCCGCGUGUAUGAAGAAGGCCUUCGGGUUGUAAAGUACUUUCAGCGGGGAGGAAGGUGUUGUGGUUAAUAACCGCAGCAAUUGACGUUACCCGCAGAAGAAGCACCGGCUAACUCCGUGCCAGCAGCCGCGGUAAUACGGAGGGUGCAAGCGUUAAUCGGAAUUACUGGGCGUAAAGCGCACGCAGGCGGUCUGUCAAGUCGGAUGUGAAAUCCCCGGGCUCAACCUGGGAACUGCAUUCGAAACUGGCAGGCUUGAGUCUUGUAGAGGGGGGUAGAAUUCCAGGUGUAGCGGUGAAAUGCGUAGAGAUCUGGAGGAAUACCGGUGGCGAAGGCGGCCCCCUGGACAAAGACUGACGCUCAGGUGCGAAAGCGUGGGGAGCAAACAGGAUUAGAUACCCUGGUAGUCCACGCCGUAAACGAUGUCUACUUGGAGGUUGUGCCCUUGAGGCGUGGCUUCCGGAGCUAACGCGUUAAGUAGACCGCCUGGGGAGUACGGCCGCAAGGUUAAAACUCAAAUGAAUUGACGGGGGCCCGCACAAGCGGUGGAGCAUGUGGUUUAAUUCGAUGCAACGCGAAGAACCUUACCUGGUCUUGACAUCCACAGAACUUUCCAGAGAUGGAUUGGUGCCUUCGGGAACUGUGAGACAGGUGCUGCAUGGCUGUCGUCAGCUCGUGUUGUGAAAUGUUGGGUUAAGUCCCGCAACGAGCGCAACCCUUAUCCUUUGUUGCCAGCGAUUAGGUCGGGAACUCAAAGGAGACUGCCAGUGAUAAACUGGAGGAAGGUGGGGAUGACGUCAAGUCAUCAUGGCCCUUACGACCAGGGCUACACACGUGCUACAAUGGCGCAUACAAAGAGAAGCGACCUCGCGAGAGCAAGCGGACCUCAUAAAGUGCGUCGUAGUCCGGAUUGGAGUCUGCAACUCGACUCCAUGAAGUCGGAAUCGCUAGUAAUCGUGGAUCAGAAUGCCACGGUGAAUACGUUCCCGGGCCUUGUACACACCGCCCGUCACACCAUGGGAGUGGGUUGCAAAAGAAGUAGGUAGCUUAACCUUCGGGAGGGCGCUUACCACUUUGUGAUUCAUGACUGGGGUGAAGUCGUAACAAGGUAACCGUAGGGGAACCUGCGGUUGGAUCACCUCCUUACCUUAAAGAAGC